AAUCAGUUAUGGUUCCUUAGAUCGUUCAUACUACAUGGAUAACUGUGGUAAUUCUAGAGCUAAUACAUGCAAAAAGCUCCGACCGUAUGGGAAGAGCGCUUUUAUUAGACCAAAACCAAUGGGGUCGCAAGAUCCCUUUGUAUGGUGACUCUGGAUAACUUUGUGCUGAUCGCAUGGCCUAGAGCCGGCGACGUAUCUUUCAAGUGUCUGCCCUAUCAACUUUCGAUGGUAAGCGAUUUGCCUACCAUGGUUGUAACGGGUAACGGGGAAUCAGGGUUCGAUUCCGGAGAGGGAGCAUGAGAAAUGGCUACCACAUCUACGGAAGGCAGCAGGCGCGCAAAUUACCCACUCCUAGAACGGGGAGGUAGUGACGAAAAAUAACAAUACCGGACUCAAUGAGGCUCGGUAAUUGAAAUGAGUACAGUUUAAAACCCUUAACGAGGAUCUAUUGGAGGGCAAGUCUGGUGCCAGCAGCCGCGGUAAUUCCAGCUCCAAUAGCGUAUAUUAAAGUUGUUGCAGUUAAAAAGCUCGUAGUUGGAUCUCGGGUACUAGCAUGUGGUACGCUUAACUGCUGUUACUACAUGUCUGGUCCUAAUCAACCGGUUGGCCGUUGAUGCCCUUUAUUGGGUGUUUUCGGUAGCCGGUACGUUUACUUUGAAAAAAUUAGAGUGCUUAAAGCAGGCCUUACGCCUGAAUAAUGUUGCAUGGAAUAAUAGAAUAGGACCUCGGUUCUAUUUUGUUGGUUUUGUAGAGCAUUGAGGUAAUGAUU
rnacentral:rRNA from 1 species